AUUGAACGCUGGCGGCAUGCUUUACACAUGCAAGUCGAGCGGCAGCGCGGGGGCAACCCUGGCGGCGAGCGGCGAACGGGUGAGUAAUGCAUCGGAACGUAUCCUCGAGUGGGGGAUAACCCAGCGAAAGUUGGGCUAAUACCGCAUGAGCUCUGAGGAGGAAAGCGGGGGACCUGCGAGGGCCUCGCGCUGGAGGAGCGGCCGAUGUCCGAUUAGCUAGUGGGUGGGGUAAAGGCUUACCAAGGCGACGAUCGGUAGCUGGUCUGAGAGGAUGAUCAGCCACACUGGGACUGAGACACGGCCCAGACUCCUACGGGAGGCAGCAGUGGGGAAUUUUGGACAAUGGGGGCAACCCUGAUCCAGCCAUGCCGCGUGAGUGAAGAAGGCCUUCGGGUUGUAAAGCUCUUUCGGACGGAACGAAAUGGGCGGGACUAAUACUCCUGUCUGAUGACGGUACCGUAAGAAGAAGCACCGGCUAACUACGU
rnacentral:rRNA from 1 species